GUGAACGCUGGCGGUAGGCCUAACACAUGCAAGUCGAACGGCAGCACAGUAAGAGCUUGCUCUUACGGGUGGCGAGUGGCGGACGGGUGAGGAAUACAUCGGAAUCUACUUUUUCGUGGGGGAUAACGUAGGGAAACUUACGCUAAUACCGCAUACGACCUACGGGUGAAAGCAGGGGAUCUUCGGACCUUGCGCGAUUGAAUGAGCCGAUGUCGGAUUAGCUAGUUGGCGGGGUAAAGGCCCACCAAGGCGACGAUCCGUAGCUGGUCUGAGAGGAUGAUCAGCCACACUGGAACUGAGACACGGUCCAGACUCCUACGGGAGGCAGCAGUGGGGAAUAUUGGACAAUGGGCGCAAGCCUGAUACAGCCAUACCGCGUGGGUGAAGAAGGCCUUCGGGUUGUAAAGCCCUUUUGUUGGGAAAGAAAAGCAGCAGGUUAAUACCCCGCUGUUCUGACGGUACCCAAAGAAUAAGCACCGGCUAACUUCGUG
rnacentral:rRNA from 1 species